rnacentral:lncRNA from 1 species
AAAAUAUGAUUAUGAUACUGUAAAUGACUCUACUUUGGAGGCUAUGAAAAGUCUGCAGAUUUUUCCUGCCAAACCUAUACAGGAAUCUGAAUAUAUAGGUAAACAGUAUUUAGAAGUUUGGAGUGGUGCUGACUUUUCCCCAGAUAUCACCAUCCAGCAUAAGUCCUCCAGUUCUCCUCAGGACUUGAGGAAACACCAUCCUGUUUCAGAGAGGAGUGAAGUCCCAAAUGUCAAAGGUCAUCCUGUAAGAAGAAGCAGGAAGCCAAAAAUAAUUUCCGUGGAAGAUAUGAG